ACAUACCUGUAUUAACCAUGAAAAUACCGUACAAAGACCAGCACACAUACAAGUACAAACCGGUAGAAAUCAGAGGACAGCUCUACCACCAGACUAUUAGCACAAAGGCCCUUGGAAAAAAGAAGAAAUACAACUGGAACCCUAGAACCUUUGCAUGCCAGAAUGCACCGCCGUCCGACGGCGACGGCCAUCCAGAACAGGACCCACGAACCGCAGAAGAACCAGAGCUCCAUCGCUUCAAAGCUUUCAGAAGAGCCGCAGUAGAAGAUCGUCAACGAGGACGAGCAGAAGGCAGCGCCGCAGAUCCAUCGGCCGGGGACACACCCUGAGCUCCGGCGAUCCUGGAGGCAGAUCCGAUGGCGAGGACUGGACACGCCGCAGGGAGACUGGAUCUGCUCCACUUUCCCGACAACUGCAAGGCCCAAAGCUGCCACUCUAAUCACCAAACAAAAGGCCGACGAACUCACCUCCCUUUCGGGCCGACAAGCCGUCGACGAGCACCUCCUGUACACGAGCUCCACACAGGGAGCACCACCUCCACAAGCUCGCCGAUAGCACCGGAGAGAAGCAUCAUCGGAGGGAGGAAGAACUCGAGAGGACUUAUUCCGAUAUGGCGUCGCCGCCGCCUCCACCUCGCCGCCGACGCCCGGAAACCAAAUCCUAGAAAACCUAGUACCUAAUCUACACCACCGCACGGAGAGCCACCGUUCCCGCACACAUCCGAGAGCCCAAAGGCCGCCGGAUGCGGAGGGGAACGGCGACCUCGCCGGCGGGAGCACGGGUCGCCUUGCUUUCGCCUGUCGCAACUGUUGGGGGAAGAAACGAGAAGGGACGAGAGAUUGGGGCUAGGGUUUAGCCGGCGGCGCCCCUUGGUGGCGGUGGCUGCCCCCUCCAGCCUCCUCCUCCCAGGCACACGCAUGUCCGGCGGCUCCCUCGUCACGCACGCACGCCCAGGCCCAGGACCGGCGCCCGCAGCGGAUCCGCGAGAGGCGCCGACAGGCGAGGCCCUGAGGCCUUCUCCUCACCCGCUGCGGGGUCCGAGGCGAGGUCAGCGGAUACCUGGAGGAAGGAGCUGCACCUCGCCGCCGCCGCCGUCGCCUCGGGAUCCAGCGGGGAGCAAAGGGAGCACACCGCGUUCCCUUUCCUCAUCGUCAUUCGAUCUACAGGGCGACGGCACGACGGCGUGGAGCAAGCGACGAGUGCCACGGGGGCGGAUCUGGGGACGCAAGGGCGCAAGGCAGCAGCCGGCAUCGGGCAGUCGGCGGCGGCGGCGCGAGUCGCAGGGCGCAGGCACAGUUCAGCGGCCGGAAGGUUGGGAGGCGCGGGCAGGCGACGACGGAAGGGCGGCGAGCAUGCCACGGUGAGGCGCUGCAGGGCAGCGACGAGGCGACUUCAAGUUCGUCCUCCCGUGCAAUGACGCCAACAACUGAGGAGUCCUCCAAUGAAGGGAGAUCUAUUAUGGAGGAGGCAUUGUGGCAUUGCCUACGAAAACAGCUUGAUAAUAGAGAACUUGUUGCUUCCCAAUAUCUCCUAGCAUGGACAACAUCAAACCAAAGGGGAAAACCAGGCCAUACAAUCUGCUAUACGUUUGGCGGUUCGAAUAUUGUAUUGCCAUGGACCAUACUUCUAAAGCGAUGGUGUGCAGAAGCUCAGUCAGCCAAGUCAGUUUGAGAUGGCGUUUAUGCCCAGCUUGAAUGGUGUCGCCGUCCUCGGAGAAGCCACUCCCGCCGCAUCGAAGGGCAGUGACACGAUCCUUCACCUUCAGAUGUUAUCUGGUUGACCCAUUCAAAGGUGCUCAUAUUCAAAGUUUCUGCUGGUCUAUUGUUGUUUCCAAUAUGUUUGUUCUGACAUGAAUAUAUAUUUGCUCUUGAGUUAGCAAUUAAAAAAUUCUUAUUCCUUGAAUUUUGUGCAAACAUGUGCUGUGCCACACGUGGGCCUCUUGCUAAAUUGAUGUUUUAACAAUAAAGACACGCUUGGCUAAGGUCAUUGUUGUGAUAGUCAAUAUUGCAACAGUGCCAACACCAGCUCAAGCAGAACAAUCCUCUGACAAUGAAAGCGAUGUUCCAAAUUAUUAUAAUAUAGAAGUUUUGGUAACUAUCUUUUAGCCCAGCUAUAUAUGAAUACAUGUUCAACUCUGCAACUACUUCUAAAAUGAAGUGCACUUUUGCUACUUGCUAAACUAAAUAAUCAUAUUGAUUCAUCCUUUCUUUUUUUUUACUGAGAUCAUACAAUGGCAUUGUAGUGAUUACUAUUGAGGUAACAGGUAAGCAGCUAUUCUACAUAUUUUUGGUUUCUUUAUUCCACUCUCUACGAUAAUAUAGUGAACUUGAGUCCAAUAAUCAUUUCUGAAGAAAUAUUGGCUGCUUAUAUGUACAGAGCUGCUUUCCAUAAAUGUUGUGCUAUAGAAGUUGCUUGAUUUCAGUUUAAAUGAUUGCCUCAAAGAGUUUUGCAAUGUGAAUGAUACAUGCAAGUAAGGAUCACAUCCAGAAAGGACAGGCUGGGAUUAAUGUAUUUCGUUAUCUGGGCAAAGCUAAUUUUUGUCCUCAUAAAUUGCAUCCAUAUCAUAUAAGUGUAAAAUUGUUAUUUUGAUAAGAAUUUUUUCCAUUGGUCUGUAAGCUGCGCUAGAAGUUCCACUAAAAUUGGCUGGAAGGUAAAUUCAGGAGCCCUUUUCAUUUUGGCUGUCAUAUUUGCUACCAAAGUCACACCAAUAUGUCUCUCUAUUAUGCAGUAAGACAAUCGAUCACAUGUCCCUUUGUAUCUAUCACCAAUAAUCGGCUGUUGCAUGCUGCUGCAGGAUACCGUCAAAAUGAUCUCCUUUGUUCUUGCCACUUCAAGCCAGCUGGGUAACACCUACUCUUUCAAGAUGUUUCCUUCCCUUGUUCAUGAAUCUGAGUAAUGCCAAGCUGAAUGUUUACCGAUUUGAUUAUGCUUUAGGCAGAGAAUACAGAUUUAGUAUUCUUAUACACUGGGUCAACUUUAUUUAAGCAUAAGAGAUCAAAAGUAUUGUUCUGUAACUGCUUAGAAUGCAUUAAAAUGUCCUUAUAAUAUGCUUGAAGCCUGGAAUGUAUUUUCAUACCAACUCAAUUAAGAAAUUAGAAUGCAUUAGAAUGUUUUAAGAUUAUAUUGUUAUAAAAUGUCUAUAGGUACAGCAUGCAUUAUAGUGCUCAUCUUGUUCGGUAGAAAACCUUCAGAUUUCUUAGCCUGAAUGAUGUGCAGAUAACACAAUUCUUAUGAAUCACCCUAUGUUGCUAUGGUGCAAAUAAAUCAUUCAGUUUAGUAUACAACAAAAACUGAAUUACUUACCCUUGUGGCAGUUAGUUACAGAGCCAGAGAGUUCCGAGACAUUUGUUGUGCUAUGCCGUCUUACGUUGCAAUAAUGUUGCUAUGGGUUUUUUAUUCAUUAAGAAAACAUUUUUCAUGGUUGUGGAGGUCCUUAGAAAAUUUAAUCUGCGGCAUUAUCAAAAUCAUGCUGUGUAAAGGUUGGAUAUAACAAAAGCUUCUUGGUAUAAGAAUUGAUGUUUGUAACUAUGCUUAUUUGUUCUCUCCUAUCAGUCGCUCGAAAAUCAGGAUUUCAUGUGCUAUAUGGAGAUGGUUCAUGCCCUGCAAUUCUGCAAUCUGCCAUCAUAUUGUUUCCAAAAGCAUAAUGAGAAAACAAUUGGGGUUGUAAACUAAGUAAUUGAAAAUAAAUAAACAUCCCAUCCUCCUUAGAAAACCACUUUCUUUGUGAAGAAUUUUGAAAGGACCAGAAGAAAGCACUUGUCCAUGAGAAUGGGAGGUCACAGCAACCACCAAGCUUAAUAGGUGAGCUAUGUUUGUUUUCUACAUUUUGAAAGGACCAGAAGAAAGCAGUGAGAUGCAUGUUUCAGGCAAUGCGACAACACAUGCUUGUGCCAGUAGUCAUUUCUGCUGCUAUAUGUAAAGUGAUUCAUUUGGCAUAAUAAACUGCAAUGUUCUGAAUGUUUUACAAUAGAAACAACGAGUCACAUAUUUUAGGAAAUGCUACAGAACUUGCUUAUGUCAGUAGCCAUUUCUGCUGGUCUAUGUGAAGUGAUUAUUGUUAGGGUAUGAUGCAAAUUCAUUUUUUUCUAAUUCUUUUCUUCAGCCAAGGUUUAUCCAGCUUUAUCUCUUAUAUUUAUUGUGUGCACAGAUCCAUACUACGAGCCAGUCUUCCCCGACACAGGCCUACACCCAGGCUAUCAGUACUAUAGACAAGGAGCUCGAGUACCUUAAGCAGGCUUUCGAGAUUUUCUGAAGCUUGGCGGUGCAAACCGGAUUAAUGAGAGGUGCUUGGAACUGCAAAAGAACAAGAAGAGCAGCAAAACUAAGUGACACUGGAGUCCAUCAUAAAUGUGAUAUGAGCUGGAAAUUAAAUUCUGGCGAUAUGGUGUGAAGAUUCUGCAUCAUUAAAUUUUUAUAAUAUGUUAGAUGUGGCAUUCAUACGUGGAUUUUCUGUAUAUAAAAAAAAGAUGUGCUACAAUUAAGAUAUGACCAAUGCAAAUAUUUUAUUCUUACCUUUACCCUCUUA